rnacentral:snoRNA from 1 species
CUGCAACCAAUGAAGCCAACCAAGGCCUUUCCCCAUGCAAUGCUCACAAACAGCAGCCUCCUUGACAUGGGGCCUGUUGCCGAUCUGGGUUGCCCUAAGAGACCUUGGAGACAAUUU